UUUAUGGGUUUGAGAGGUCUCUAAGAAAGAGUUGAGGGAGGUGAAUCAGUUCUUGAGAGAUAAGGAGAGAUUCUGCAAAAGAAACGAGGUAGAUCGGUAAAGAUUCGAAGGAGUUACGAGCCUCGAUGGGAAAUUUGUGGGUCGUCGGAAUCUGGGCCCAAAUCGCCAAAAAACAGUGAGGUAAGUUCCUUUUAAUUUUAUAAUCUUAUAGAGGGAAGAAAGAGGGAGGUGUAGGAUCAAACGGGGGUUGAAUUGGAGUUAAAAUGAAGGAGAAAAGCCCGAAAAAUGAAGCUGCUACGCAAUCAUCACCGGAGAAGACACGAUGAGUGUAACACAAGCGCUGCUGCUAGCCGCGAGUAGGGGUGCAUGGGUCCCCUCCUACAGGCGAGUAAGAAACAGCCAAACCGACAAUCGUGAAUAGUACCAAGUCAGGUAACUUUGGUGCAACAAGUGUUUCAGGUACUCGGGAGCAAGCAAAGGCAAAGAGGAUAUGGCUUCAUAAUAUUUCUCUUAAUUUGUUACAUUCAAAUAAAUCCAGUUGUUGUAAUCAAACCACUUACAGAUGUCUUGUAAUCUACCACCAAUUUUUAUGCGGGUGUCUUGUGAAAUCAAUUAUUUAUACGAAGAUACUAAUAAUUGAAGCGUG